AUUGAACGCUGGCGGCAGGCCUAACACAUGCAAGUCGAACGAGUGGCGGACGGGUGAGUAAUGUAUGGGCAACUGCCUGAUGGAGGGGGAUAACUACUGGAAACGGUAGCUAAUACCGCAUACCAUCAGAUGUGCCCAGAUGGGAUUAGCUAGUAGGUGGGGUAACGGCUCACCUAUGCGACGAUCCCUAGCUGGUCUGGGAGGAUGACCAGCCACAAUGGAAAUGGGACACGGUCCAUACUCCUACGGGAGGGAGCAGUGGGGGAAAUUGCCCAAUGGGCGCAAGCCUUGUGCAACCAUGCCUCGUGAGUGGUGACGGCCUUCGGGUUGGAAAGCUCGUUAAGCGGGACGACGGUACCGGAAGAGAAAGCCACGGCUAACUACGUGCCAGCAGCCGCGGUAAUAC
rnacentral:rRNA from 1 species